rnacentral:rRNA from 1 species
UGGGGAAUAUUGCACAAUGGGCGCAAGCCUGAUGCAGCGACGCCGCGUGAGGGAUGGAGGCCUUCGGGUUGUAAACCUCUUUCGCCAGUGAAGCAGGCCAUCUUCUUUGUGGGGUGGUUGACGGUAGCUGGAUAAGAAGCGCCGGCUAACUACGUGCCAGCAGCCGCGGUAAUACGUAGGGCGCGAGCGUUGUCCGGAAUUAUUGGGCGUAAAGAGCUAGUAGGCGGCUGGUCGCGUCUGUCGUGAAAUCCCCUGGCUUAACUGGGGGCUUGCGGUGGGUACGGGCCGGCUUGAGUGCGGUAGGGGAGACUGGAAUUCCUGGUGUAGCGGUGGAAUGCGCAGAUAUCAGGAGGAACACCGGUGGCGAAGGCGGGUCUCUGGGCCGUUACUGACGCUGAGGAGCGAAAGCGUGGGGAGCGAACAGG